UACGUAGGGUGCGAGCGUUAAUCGGAAUUACUGGGCGUAAAGCGUGUGCAGGCGGUUUGUUAAGACAGAUGUGAAAUCCCCGGGCUUAACCUGGGAACUGCAUUUGUGACUGGCAAGCUAGAGUAUGGCAGAGGGGGGUAGAAUUCCACGUGUAGCAGUGAAAUGCGUAGAGAUGUGGAGGAAUACCGAUGGCGAAGGCAGCCCCCUGGGCCAAUACUGACGCUCAUGCACGAAAGCGUGGGGAGCAAACAGG
rnacentral:rRNA from 1 species